rnacentral:misc_RNA from 1 species
AAGCAUAAGACGGGCCGAGGGGGGUUUCCGAGCUGGCCUUUCAUCGGGCACCCGUGCUCGCCCCCCCGGCCUUCCACUCCCACGCACCAGUGCACACGCGGCGAGGGGUGAAAACCCUUCCCGUUCUCUUCACACACGCCAGUUUUGUAAAUGCAUGUGAUAACCUCGUGCGUCCUCAAGGGCCACGUGAAUUUUUUGAAA